AGACGGAGGGUGCUAGCGUUGUUCGGAAUUACUGGGCGUAAAGCGCGCGUAGGCGGUUUAUCCAGUCAGGCGUGAAAGCCCUGGGCUCAACCCAGGAACUGCGUUUGAUACUGAUUGACUAGAGGCCGGGAGAGGGUAGUGGAAUUCCCAGUGUAGAGGUGAAAUUCGUAGAUAUUGGGAAGACCACCAGUGGCGAAGGCGGCUAUCUGGACCGGUACUGACGCUGAGGUGCGAAAGCGUGGGGAGCAAACAGGAUUAGAAACCCCAGUAGUCC
rnacentral:rRNA from 1 species